rnacentral:misc_RNA from 1 species
GAUGAAGAACGCAGCGAAAUGCGAUAAGUAGUGUGAAUUGCAGAAUUCAGUGAAUCAUCGAAUCUUUGAACGCACAUUGCGCCCCUUGGCAUCCCGAGGGGCAUGCCUGUUCGAGCGUCAUUUCACCACUCAAGCCUGGCUUGGUGUUGGGCGACGUCCCCUUUGGGGACGCGCCUCGAAACGCUCGGCGGCGUGGCACCGGCUUUAAGCGUAGCAGAAUCUUUCGCUUUGGAAGUCGGGGCCCCGUCUGCCGGAAGACCUACUCGCAAGGUUGACCUCGGAUCAGGCAGGGAUACCCGCUGAACUUAAGCAUAUCAAUAAGCGGAGGA